AAAGAAAUAAAAAUAAUAACGGAAAAAGAAAAACAGAGAAAAAUUUAGAAAAAUUUAGAAACAAAGAAAAUAAAAGUAAAUCGAAUUUGUUUUUUAUUCUUUUUCGUUGCUUAGCAACCAAACGAACGUCAGGUGAUCGGGUUGACUCAUUUUCUCUUUUCACUUAUUUUGUUAAUUACUUUUUCUAUUUUUUCCCUCUGGUUAAUUGUUACUAUUUAUCUUUUUGUUUUCAUUUUCUCUUUUGACUUGAGACUUUUUUUCUUUUUCUUCUUCUUCUUUCGUUUUCAUGGUGAAGUGAUUAAGGAACAUUUUCCAUUGUUAAUUUUGUGCGAAAAUUGUGUGGGAAUUGGUUAGUUGCGAGUCAAUCACAAUUUCCAUCAUCACAAAUGAUAUCAUCAACCUACGGUUCUUAUCUGUUAAUUUUUCGCAUCAAUUGUGAGAGAACCUGAAAUUAGCUUAAUUUCUACAAUGUAAUCAUGGAUACCAGGAAAUCAAAGGAACCUUAAUUGUUGAGAAUUUCUCCUCAAUUCAUAGUCUUUCGCCCGCUCUUUCUCAUUUCAAGUGAAAUGGAUAAUCUUUCUUGUACAAAUGGCCAUGUUUAAUUUCAAUUCAAAUCCGUCAACCACAUCACAAUAAUCUGAAUGGUGUUUAACCUUGUUUAUCGUAAAAACGACAACUAAUUGUUAACAAUCAAAGUAAAUCGACUUGAGAAAAGAAAAGAUAUUAACCGGUAAACAUGAUGAAAAUUUUUUUUUCUUCUACAAACAUUUUAUCCAAUUGUUUACAUCAACCAGAACAUUAAUCAUCAUCAUCAUCAUCAUCAUGUUGGAACAAUUUGUUAUUUAUCAGUUUAAACUUUUCUCUCUCUCUCUCACACACACACUUUUGAUUAAUCAACCUUGCGCUUUGUAUUUCAUAAGUAUGAGGUUGAUCUCGUUCAUUUCAAUGAUAAAUAGUUAAUCAAAAGAUUUCUCAAUCAAAUUCUGUUAUUUGAUCAUCUUUAAGUCUCACUUAUUAUCUGAGGACGAGCAACAAAUGAAAAGAUAUUAAAAACCAAUGUUGACAAUUUAAAUUGGAGAAUCCAACUAACUAAUCUGAUCUAAAUAAUUUGGAUCUCAGUUCCAUGAUUAAUUAUCGUACAUAAUUAUCAGAACAUAUCAAAUUUUAUCUACCCUUUUUGAAACUUGAUUUGGAAAGUGAAAGUCAUUUUAAGGAUUUGAUUUCUUUCUUUGAUUAUUCUUCUUCUUGAUUUCGAUUAAUAUGUAAUCGUGGGAAGUGAAACAAGGUGUAUAUAUAUAUAUGCGUGUGUGUAUAUUUGUUGAUUACACACUUAUUGAUUUUAUCGAUUGUAAUACUAACCAUUUCCAGAGACACAAGGACAAGCGUCAACAUAAAGGUCACCCUUAAUUUGCGCCAAAGUACAACGUUCACCUCUUUGAGCUCGAUUUUGACAACUUCGAAUUCCCGAUUCACGAUUUAAUAAGCAACAUCCUGAUUCACAAUCAUUACUGUAUGAACAAAUAUCACCCAAUCCACGAUGAGUCUAAAUUAAUGGUAUAAAAAAAAAGAGCAAACGAAAAACAAUUUAGUAAAUUGUCCAUCAGCAAUAAUCAUGUUCCAUUAAACCAGAAUAACAAUAGAGUCUGAAUUUUAAAUUUGGACUUAAAAUUGGAACCUUAAUUACAUCGAUUAUGAUAUUAAGGUAAACAGAGAAUAAAAGUGAAAAGUGACAAAAGAAAGAUCAAUUUGGGAAACAAAUAUCAGCCAAUUCUCAUCAUCAUCAUCAUCAUCAUCAUCAUCAACAAUAUCACGGAAACGGUUUUAAUUCUAAUUGUAAAGAUGAUUACAAUUCAAUAAGUCAUUCAACAAGGAAAUAUCGUUCAUCUUGUUAAACCACAAACUGACCAUCAGCUUUAACCAUCUUGUCUCAUCAUCAUUCAAACACAAUAGCUUCUGUACAACCUUAAAGUAGGCCAUCAUCAUCAUCAUCAUCAUCAUCUUUCUAAUUGAUGAUGAUUAUGAUUAAAUGAUGAUGUGGUUUACUCUAAAUUAAUAUCAAGCUAAUAAGCGAUGAUAAUCAACCUAAAUGUUAAAGUAAUCAAAGGUGUGUCAUCCAUAGGAUGUUGCAUCAUAUCUGGAUCUGACCAAUCGAUACCAUCAUUGGAGGGAAUAUAAUAAGAUUUUUUGUAUAAAUAUCUCAAAGGUUUCUUAUUGAAUUGGUUCUUGGGCUCAGUUCGUUGGGCUCGAUGACCAUCCCAAUAACUUUGAAUCAAUGGAAGCGUAACCAAAACCAGGAGAACAAGGAUUAAUUGAUAUUGAUAUUAAUUCUUACAGAGGAUUAACUUUUCGGUGGACAGGUAACUGGUCAAGGUGAUUCGGAUUCUAAAUUGUUUAUAGUUCAAAGUUAUAUAACCAAUAACAAUUAUAAUAAUUUCUGGACAAAGUAAUCGAUCAUCUGAAUCCAUUUUUUUUAUCAAUUACGAUGGUCAGUUGAUACAAUUUUUCCGAUUGCUCGUCAGCCAUUCAAAUGAAUAUUUGGAUUCAAUAUAAUCACGAUGAUUACUAAAUGAUCUUCAAAUUUAACCACCUUAAUUGAUUAACUGAGAAAGCAGAACAAAAAAAAUCACUGUUAUAAAAAGGAUGGUGAUUAAAUUAUCACUCAAUGGUGGUGAUUGUCGAUACGCUUGUAACCUUGUAUAAUCUGUUGGCUACCAAAUCGUUGAUUGAUUGUUGUGACCAUGUUAUUGCACUCGUCCGACCUGAAGAGACCAUCAUUUAUCAUCUAUUAUUAAAUCAAUUGAAUCAAUUGUGUUUAAAUUGAUAAACGAUUGAUUGAACAUCGGCCUUUGAUACCGGGAUAUAAAUAUUGGUAUUGGUCAUUACAAUGACCCUUUAGAUGGAUAUUUACAAUCAAUAAGGUGAUGCUAAUGGUUAAUUAUCUUUUAAAAUGUUUUCCAAAAAGAUGAUGGUGAUGAUGAUUUCACCAGAAUAAAAAACGAUAAACACUCAGGUGAAAAUGGCGAGAAACAAAAAAUUCUAAUUGACCUUUAAUCGUAUCGUGGUCAUCGUUACAUUUUUCCCUUUAGAUUAACUUUGAUGGUAUUAUAACAAUCAAACAUCAUUUUACCUGAAUGAUGAUCAGAAACAGUUCAUGAAAAUUUAAUUUAUUGUUUUCUUUUUAAUCUUAUAUUUCUUUUUCAACAAUCAACACAAUUAAGGAACUGUUGAUGAAUCCAGUUGAUUAAUGGGUAACAGAUUAAUCAUUUCAAAUUAUUGGAAUCAAAUUAGUUUUCUUAUUCGCUUAAAGCAACUAAUUACUUUCGAUUAGCAAAUACAAAUAUCAAGGUGCUAAAUUGUCGACGUUUUUUCAGGGUGACAAUUAAUCAACAAUCUAAAUUAUUCAUUAAAACACCAAGAAAAAUCAAUCUCGGUCAAUCGGUCUCAUCAUUUCCAGUUAGUUAAUUGUCGAGGUCAGUUUUUUAUAAAUCAAUCAUCUGGACGCGUUAAUCAUUAUCAUAUUUAUGCCAAUCAAAUGAUUUUGCUUUAAGAUGAAGGUUAAUCUUGUUGGUGGAAGAGCAAUUUUUGGUUGAUUGUUGGAUUGUUAAUCACGGGAAACACCAGGAAAAGGAAAUCAAACUUAAUCAGAUUUGUGAACAAUUAAGUGUGAAACAAUCAACAAGGGAAAAUAAACUACAAUCAUAAUCAAA